UGGCCUGCCUUACCAAUAAGAGAAUUGCUCCAACUAUUGGCUUGGGUUUUUCCCAAUUUUUUUAAACCUGCUUGGAAACAGCAUGAUUCAGCUGGACGUCAACAGAGCUCAUUUUAUUUUGCAUUCUUAAACGAAAUUAUGUUGUUGUCUUAUGAAUAGGGGACUUUUCAACAUGGUCAUUAAGCUUCUUCAAGGCCUUUGACCAGUUCUUAAAAGGCUUUUCAAAAAGAUGCCUAAGCUUUGAAGCGUUGUGUGUGUAUUGACCACCAAACAUAACACAAUUAAUGCAAAAUGCCCCAUCUAACAUGUAGGAAUACGCAAGCCAUGGAUACUGUUGCAACCAAAAAUGCAGAAAUCGACACCCCAAGGAAUUGACAGGGAAAUGAAAGUCCUUUCCAGGUUUUCAAAUAUUGUUCAGAAGAUCAUACUUCACUUGAUCCCAAAGGAAAAAGCACGAUUGGUAAAAAUUUCCGAUGUCAUUUUGAGGACAGGAAGAGGCGGAGAAAGCUUCUGGAAGUGAAGGAAGACGUCAAACGUCCAUUUUUGAGCUGUCAACCAUCUUGCUUUCGGAAGAAACCCUUGUGAAAGCCUGGGAAGAAGAUGCCAAAUCAUCAAGCUUAGUUUUUUUAAAGGCAAUGGCAUCUAUUUUCAUCUGCGUGCGCUUGGAAGCUCUUACAGGCUCUUGUCUAUUGUAAUCAUUUGCUCAACAUUUUGAUUUACCUGGCUUGAUCCUUCCAGUUUUUAAAGCAUCUUCUGACAUUUCCAGUAAAGGAACGUAAUAGUCUUUGAUUUCUGGAAAUUUACUUUAAGAGGAGGUGCAACAAAAAAUAUGGAUCUUUGUAUUGUUUGAAGAGGAAGAGCCUCUUGGCAAAAUGGUGCUCUUAAAGGAGAAUGGCGGAAUAUUUUUAUUUUUUGUACAGGUACUGGUACUUGUUGUGCUUAACACGAUGUGAUGUUAUUUUUUGUAUUUCUAUGAUAUUUUACGAGUAAUUGAGCUGAUAAUUCAAAUUUCUUCUGCAGGACAAUUAUCGUUUUCCAUCGUUUCCGAGAAUCCAUGUGGCCAUUGUGAUGUCAUAUGUCAUCACUGGUUUUCCUGCACGCAAUGUGGGCCUAUAUAAUCUGCAUAAAUUGCAGGUAGGAAUCAGCUGCAAAUUUCAGCAAAAUACUACACUGCAAUGCGUAUAACUGUUUCGAGGACAGUAUAAAAAGGUCUGACAAGGUAAAUGCCUCUUCUUGUACCCAUCCAGAAAGAAGAAUAAGGUUUUUUAGUUUUCUAAAAGACCUGGUGUACCGUCCAUUGUGGGUGCAAAAUAUGCGCCUGGAAAACUUUGUUGUUAAGGAUCAUUCAAGGCUUUGCGAGAAACAUUUCGAGGAUGACCAAUUUGAGGUAAGCUGACAUGUUGUAGAGUCUCUUGAUUUGGCUGGUGAGAAACAAAUCAAACUGAAAAAAGAUGCUGUUCCAACGAUAUUUAUUUUCAUGACUGUUGUAAUGCAAUGUACCUGUACCAUGCAUGUGUAAAAAAUCGUAGCAACAACAACAGAGUGCUUCUUGCCAAUCCAUCAUUAGUGUUUCAUGAAAAUUUGAGCUGUUUACAUGAGAAAUGCACCAUUGUUUAAAUUUAGUUAUUUUACCUGACUUGUCAGUGUCAAAUGAAACGAUUCUCUUCCAGAGGCCUUGUGAGUUGCUGUUAGCAAAAUAUCAUUCAAAUAAUUAAUAGGAGAAAUCUAGUGCAAAGGGAUUACUUUUUAAGCACGUUUUCAGUUUAUAAAAUCAGGUCUUACAUGUUUUACAUUGUUUGUUUUUUCAAAAUAAUAAUCUGUCUAUUUUAAAUAUGCAAGCUAAUUUUUCCAUAGUUGGUAUCUGAUAUGUUACAAACAAUCACAGUCAAUCGCUUGGUCAAUCUUAUGGAACAAAGUCAACUGCCGAUGCACAAAUUGGAUCACAAAUUUCAGAGAGUGAAAUCGGUAUUGACAGACAGAUGUGUGAUUCAUCCACCCAAUUACAGUCAUUUCAAACGAGGUCUACCCUGCAGCUAAUCCGAGCACACAGACCCUGGUUUAUUGGCACUUUAAAGGAACCCAAACAAAUACUAGAUCAUGGUCAAAAGAUACCAAGACAGAGCACAGGACAAAAGAUGCAUGCAUUCAGUUGAACGGCAGCUUCCUGUCAGAGCUGUGAUUACCAAUUUGAGUCCAGAAGCAAGCUUGGAGAGAAUGUCAUCUUCAGAUAGCCAUGAGUGGGUACCAAAUGAAUCUUCAGCAUCAGAAGAAUAUGGUGAGUCUAUAAAUACUACGCCAGUUGGAUGGAAUGAGCGAACAUUUCUAGUUUUUGAAUCAUGCCUAAUGUGUCUGUACAAAAAUCCGUCUUUCAAGAGUAAUGAAGUUGGUGGUGCAAAAAACAUGGAACUUGAAGGUAUAAAACGAUGUUUCCAGCUGUUAGAUAGUGAGCAUUUGUUGUACAAUACUUUGGUCACAAAUCGUCAUGGACCAGUCGUAAAAUUUAUCCGGACAGAAAGAAAAAAAAAGCAUCACUUGGAUGUGUUCCAUGUUGCAAAAGUGAAAAACUACGACUUUAACUUGAAACUAGAUGCACAUAGUUGCCAUUUUGACUUUUCAUUUAGCCCUUUUCUAAUAGACCUUUUACGGCAGGUAUGGUGUUGUAAACAAAUAUUCAUAUAAAUAUAAUUCUAAAAACAUUGUUAAGUAACACAUUUCAACUAGACUCUCAGCUAUUUUGUCGCUAAAAAAUAAAUUUGGAAUUCUGAUUUACCAGAGGAUGGCUUCACAAAGUGCAUCAAACAAAGGAACUGAUGACACAUUCUGGGGCUGCAGCCGGAAAACUACUGAAAUGUAAAAUGUUUGAUCAGUUGACUUUCAUAAAAGAUAAACACAAAUAGGCCAACUACCAGCAACCUCAAAAUUGAAGAGUCCUACCAGCAUUACAGCCACGCCAGUAGGAGGUAGCAGACCCAAAUCAAACUCCAGAAAAAGGAAAUUGGAAAAACCUUCUAUUGACUCCUAUGAUGCUUAUCUAGCAGAAUACCAUGAUUGACUGUAUCAAAGGCUUUAGAGAAGUCUAGAAAGAUACAACAUGAAAAACGUUUUCCUUCAAUGUUUUCAACUAGCUUUGUGCAGAGAUCUAAGAUUGCCAAUGUUGUUGAUUUAUUUUUUUGAAAUUCAAAUUGAUGCCUGAAAAUUAUUCUGUACUUGUCUAAAAAGUUAGCCAAACGAGAGUGCAUUGCCUUCUCUAGAAGUUUACUAAAGAUUGGUAGGAUUGAGAUAGGUCUAUAGUUAGUAAGUUCAAGUUUUGAUUUGCCCUUGUGUAUUGGUGCCACUUUCGCAAAUUUCAAUUUCUCUGGAAAAAUUACUUUUUCAAAUGUUGAGUUAGCUAUUAAAGAGAAAGGCAAUGAAAUUGUGUACCUUACUAGUCUAAUGAGUUUUACGGGUAGAUCAUAUGAGUCAUUGGCUUUAGUUUUGUCUAAGUUGGCAACUAAGUCAUUAAUUUCUUGAGGUGUAACGGGUUGAAAAAAAAGCUUCUUGGGUUUAGUGUUUUAAGAUAAUUUUUAAACUUCUUGGUGGGGGGUUUCAUUUUGUCAACUAUUCUUUGUGCAACAGUUGUAAAAUAUUCGUUGAAACAGUUUGCUAUGAUUUUAUGAUUAGUGGUCAAUUUACCAUUAAUUGAAAGGCAAAGGUCAUUGGAGUGCUUUUUCUGUUUUUGAAUGAUAUCAUUAAUGCCAGACCAAACCUUUUUCGAACUUUUUUUGAAUUUGUCAAAAUAGGAAAUGUAAUAGAUUUUUUUGCUUUUUGUUAUCAGAUGAUUUAGAAGGUCUCUAUAUCCUUUAUAUUUUUGGUAGCAUGAGGGAUCUUUCAUUUUCCAAAAUUUUGAGUAAUAUCUAUUUUUCACUGAGAUUGAUUUAAGAAUACCAGUUGUAAUCCAGGGUUUAUUUCUCAUUUUAUGCAUUUUCUUAGGGAUCUCUUUAAGGAGGCGUGUUUAUUGAUAAUAUUUAACAGUGUAUCCUGAAAGACAUUAAAUUUUGCAUUCGGAUUAUUUUCAGCAUUUAUUAAUUUUACAAGGUCCACCUGUCUUAGGUCUGAGAUGUAUGAGUCAGCAUCAAAGUUAUUGUAAUCACGAUAAAAACUUUUCCUACCCUUAGAAAAUUUAACAUUUAGGUUUUGACAGAAUAUGAAGUUAGGCAUAUGAUCUGUUAUUUUAGAGAUCAGAUUACCGCUAAAGGUCUCAAAUUCUAAUGAGUUCAGAAAAAUAUUAUCGAUCAGAGUAGGUCUUUGAUUACCAGCAAUUUUAGACGGCUGAAUUAUGUGAGGUUGGAAAAAAUUUGAUAGUAAGAGAUUCAAGAAGUUGUCUGUAUAUGCUUCUGUAUCAUAACGAAGAAGUCACCAGUAAUAAAUGCGAUUUUGUUUUCCUUUCUGAUCUUGCAUAAUACUGUGUUUGUUAAGUAUUCAAUGAAUUUAUCCUCUUGUUUUUUUCUUGGGUGACGAUAUAUAACGCCAAUCACGUAAUUUGACUUUGGUGAGUUGGUAAUUUCUAUCCAGUUUGCUUCAAAUUCACAAUCUUUUCCUAUAAAAGAGUAGUCUAGGUCCUCCCUGGGUAAAAAUGUAAUACCUUUGGAAACAAAGAAGCCACAGCCACCCUUUAGACUAUUGCCAGGAGUACCAUGAAAUUUUUGAUAGCCAUUUAAGUGUAGGUUUUCAAUUGUACUUUCGUUUUCCUGGAGAUCCAAGCUUCUGAAAGGGCUAUAAUUUCAAAGCUAUGUCCUAGUGUUGUUUGAAGAUAUUCUAAGUUGUUGAUAUUUUCAUUCAACGAGCAAAUGUUUGUAUGCAUCAUACUAAAAGGCAUGUUUCUAAAUGCUUUUAGCUUUCGUUGUAACUUAAGAAAUUCAUGUGUGCAGUAGUAUUGAAAGUUACAUUUGAGAUUUAUGUUUUCAUCGAUAUCAUUGUUUGAAUUAGGAUGAGCAGUGUUUAAUUUAAGUCUGUUGAAGUCAAAUUCUGUAACUGUUUCGGUAAGUUCUAGUUCAGUUAGCUCUUGCAUGAUAGUAGCACAUGGACAAGUUUCAGUGGAGUUGAAUCCUUCAGCAAUUAUUUCAAAAAUAUUUAAAGAGUAAAAAGGAAAUAUUUUUUCACAGCAAGAUGAACAGUGCCAAUUUUCUAAAAUCGCUCGGAUGUCGUGAAGUUGCCAGUUUGGAAGGCGGCCACACUU